rnacentral:rRNA from 1 species
GGAGAGUUUGAUCCUGGCUCAGGAUGAACGCUAGCGGCAGGCUUAACACAUGCAAGUCGAGGGGCAGCAUAAUGGAUAGCAAUAUCUAUGGUGGCGACCGGCGCACGGGUGCGUAACGCGUAUGCAACCUACCUUUAACAGGGGGAUAACACUGAGAAAUUGGUACUAAUACCCCAUAAUAUCAUAGAAGGCAUCUUUUAUGGUUGAAAAUUCCGAUGGUUAGAGAUGGGCAUGCGUUGUAUUAGCUAGUUGGUGGGGUAACGGCUCACCAAGGCGACGAUACAUAGGGGGACUGAGAGGUUAACCCCCCACACUGGUACUGAGACACGGACCAGACUCCUACGGGAGGCAGCAGUGAGGAAUAUUGGUCAAUGGACGCAAGUCUGAACCAGCCAUGCCGCGUGCAGGAUGACGGCUCUAUGAGUUGUAAACUGCUUUUGUACGAGGGUAAACGCAGAUACGUGUAUCUGUCUGAAAGUAUCGUACGAAUAAGGAUCGGCUAACUCCGUGCCAGCAGCCGCGGUAAUACGGAGGAUUCAAGCGUUAUCCGGAUUUAUUGGGUUUAAAGGGUGCGUAGGCGGUUUGAUAAGUUAGAGGUGAAAUUUCGGGGCUCAACCCUGAACGUGCCUCUAAUACUGUUGAGCUAGAGAGUAGUUGCGGUAGGCGGAAUGUAUGGUGUAGCGGUGAAAUGCUUAGAGAUCAUACAGAACACCGAUUGCGAAGGCAGCUUACCAAACUAUAUCUGACGUUGAGGCACGAAAGCGUGGGGAGCAAACAGGAUUAGAUACCCUGGUAGUCCACGCAGUAAACGAUGAUAACUCGUUGUCGGCGAUACACAGUCGGUGACUAAGCGAAAGCGAUAAGUUAUCCACCUGGGGAGUACGUUCGCAAGAAUGAAACUCAAAGGAAUUGACGGGGGCCCGCACAAGCGGAGGAACAUGUGGUUUAAUUCGAUGAUACGCGAGGAACCUUACCCGGGCUUGAAAGUUAGCGACGAUUCUUGAAAGAGGAUUUCCCUUCGGGGCGCGAAACUAGGUGCUGCAUGGUUGUCGUCAGCUCGUGCCGUGAGGUGUCGGGUUAAGUCCCAUAACGAGCGCAACCCCUACCGUUAGUUGCCAUCAGGUGAAGCUGGGCACUCUGGCGGGACUGCCGGUGUAAGCCGAGAGGAAGGUGGGGAUGACGUCAAAUCAGCACGGCCCUUACGUCCGGGGCUACACA